rnacentral:rRNA from 1 species
UACGGGGGGGGUAAGCGUUGUUCGGAAUUACUGGGCGUAAAGGGCUCGUAGGCGGCCAACUAAGUCAUACGUGAAAUCCCUCAGCUUAACUGGGGAACUGCGUGUGAUACUGGAUGGCUUGGAUUUGGGAGAGGGAUGCGGAAUUCCAGGUGCAGCGGUGAAAUGCGUAGAUAUCUGGAGGAACACCGGUGGCGAAGGCGGCAUCCUGGACCAAUAUUGACGCUGAGGAGCGAAAGCCAGGGGAGCAAACGGG